UUUCCGGUUGAUCCCGCCGGAGGUCACUGCUAUCGGGGUUCGAUUAAGCCAUGCGAGUCGAGAGGGUUCGGCCCUCGGCGUACUGCUCAGUAACACGUGGAUAACCUGCCCUAGGGAAGGGGAUAACCCCGGGAAACUGGGGAUAAUACCCUAUAGGUUACAGAUGCUGGAAUGCUCUGUAACCCAAAGUUCCGGCGCCCUAGGAUGGAUCUGCGGCCGAUUAGGUUGUUGUUGGGGUAAUGGCCCAACAAGCCAGUAAUCGGUACGGGUUGUGGGAGCAAGAGCCCGGAGUUGGAUUCUGAGACACGAAUCCAGGCCCUACGGGGCGCAGCAGGCGCGAAAACUUUACAAUGCGGGCAACCGUGAUAAGGGAACCUCGAGUGCCUGUAAAUGCAGGCUGUUUAGGUGUUUAAAACGCACCUGGAGAAAGGGCCGGGCAAGACCGGUGCCAGCCGCCGCGGUAAUACCGGCGGCUCGAGUGGUGGCCACUUUUAUUGGGCUUAAAGCGUUCGUAGCUGGGUUGUUAAGUCUCUUGGGAAAUCUGGCGGCUUAACCGUCAGGCGUCUAAGGGAUACUGGCAAUCUUGGAACCGGGAGAGGUGAGGGGUACUUCGGGGGUAGGAGUGAAAUCCUGUAAUCCUCGAGGGACCACCUGUGGCGAAGGCGCCUCACCAGAACGGCUUCGACAGUGAGGGACGAAAGCUGGGGGAGCAAACCGGAUUAGAUACCCGGGUAGUCCCAGCCGUAAACUAUGCGCGUUAGGUGUAUCGGUGACCACGAGUUACCGAGGUGCCGAAGGGAAACCGUGAAACGUGCCGCCUGGGAAGUACGGUCGCAAGGCUGAAACUUAAAGGAAUUGGCGGGA
rnacentral:rRNA from 1 species